AUGUCUAAACCGCUGGCAACUAAAGUGAGUACACCCCUAAGUGAAAAUGUCCAAAUUGGGCCUAAAGUGUCAAUAUUUUGUGUGGCCACCAUUAUUUUCCAGCACUGCCUUAACCCUCUUGGGCAUGGAGUUCACCAGAGCUUCACAGGUUGCCACUGGAGCCCUCUUCCACUCCUCCAUGACGACAUCACGGAGCUGGUGGAUGUUAGAGACCUUGGGCUCCUCCACCUUCUGUUUGAGGAUGCCCCACAGAUGUUCAAUAGGGUUUAGGUCUGGAGACAUGCUUGGCCAGUCCAUCACCUUUACCCUCAGCUUCUUCAGCAAGGCAGUGGUCGUCUUGGAGGUGUGUUUGGGGUCAUUAUCAUGUUGGAAUACUGCCCUGCGUCCCAGCCUCUUUCUUUGGUCGACCAUAGCGGGCCUGUUUUGAAUGGAACCUGUCCUGUUAAACCGCUGUAUGGUCUCAGUUUCAGGUCUUGGCAAUCUUCUUAUAGCCUAGGCCAUCUUUCUGUAGAGCAACAAUUAUUUUUUUCAGAUCCUCAGAGUUAUUUGCCAUGAGGUGCUAUGUUGAACUUCCAGUGACCAGUAUGGAGGGAGUGUGAGAGUGAUAACACCAAAUUUAACACACCUGCUCCCCAUUCACACCUGAGACCUUGUAACACUGAUGAGUCACGACACUGGGGAGGGAAAAUGGCUAAUUGGGCCCAAUUUGGACAUUUUCACUUAGAGGUGUACUCACUUGUUGCCAUCGGUUUAGACAUUAAUGGCUGUGUGUUGUGUUAUUUUGAGGGGACAGCAAAUUUUCACUUAUACAAGCUGUACACUCACUACUUCACAUUGUAGCAAAGUGUCAUUUCUUCAGUGUUGUCACAUGAAAAGAUAUAAUCAAAUAUUUGCAAAACUGUGAGGGGGUGUCCUCGCUUUUGUGAGAUACCGUAUAUAUGUGCACAGCUGAGUAAAUAUAUGAAUGUCUUAAAGUGUGUAUACAUAAUGCUGUACUGUAGAUAAAUGAAGCUUUCCUAUGAAAAGACUUUGUUUCUGUGGAGUCCUGGGGAGCUCAAAUUACAGUAUGUCCAAAUGAUUGUACGCUGCUUGUAAAAAAAGACAGGAUGCCAUUUUGCUUCAACCUUAGGUCCACAGUUUUUUAAUCUCCCCUGUUGGAAUGCUGAAGGACAUUCCAGAGUUUGGCUUAAGACUGCAGCAGCUGGUCCCAGACUAAACAUUUUCUUCUUGAUAAUCUGAACUUGAAAACAACCAAAUGUAAGAUAUUGUCUCAGACCAACUCAAUCAUAUUUCUGAGCGGCACCUUAUUGCUUAAUUUUUGGAAACACUCAGAAUUCAUUGAAAUACUUUCUUAGAUUUGCUGACAUGAUAUCAGUGUUAAAGGCACUGAGUGUUCUUGUUUUUUUUAUUGGAGACUAAACAUUUUUUUUUUACGGAAUUGUACUGUAUUUGAAGCAGCACAGUCAAUAGCAAAUAUUAUUUGGACUGUUACAUUUAGGGUGAACAUGGUAGAACGUGUACACACACACGCUUGUGAUUUAUAAAUUCCUAAAUUUGAUAUGUAAAGUCUAUUGCACCCUUUAGCUGGUCAGGUGAAAUUUGAAGUAAAACCUUUUGUGGUUUCAGAGAACCUGUUCUGUGACUGGUUUCUGUUUGCUGGACGACAUGGCUCUUUUUUAGACUAAAUUAAGUCAAAGGCAGAAUACAAACGAAACGCUGCUUCCUUUUUGUGGAUUUACUGUUAUUUAAUACAUCGGACAGUGUCUCUAUUUCAGGAGCAGGGCUGGCUCAUGUCAUUAGUGACAUAAGCAGUCACUCAGCGCCCCUGACCAAUAGGGGGCCUCCGACUGCUAGGGAGCCCUCGACCAGUAGGGGACAGGGGGUCCCAGAUCAAAGUUUGCUCAGGGCCCCCCAAAAGACUAGGCCGGCACAGUCUGAGGCUAGCUCCGGGUACGAGGCAAAGCUGGAAAUCCUCAGGACUGGGGAGGCAUCGUCAGUGUGGGUAUUUGGAUCGCCCUCAGUUGGCUCGAGUGGCUGACUGAUUCCAGUCGAGGCUGAUCCAUGUGCCUUCCUAGUUGGUGGACCAGGGGUUGAAAAAAGCAGCGUGGCUUGGCACGGACUCCUAUGAUGAAAGCUUGCUGCCAUAUUAAACGUCUGAAUGAGGGAGGAAGGGAAAUGGGUAAGAAGUUUGUAAGUUUUUUUUUUUUUAAAUGGCUUGCCUAGCUAUUUCUAAAUUGAAUGUAUGGAAUACGGUUUAUGUAUUGGUGAGAAUGCCUUGCAACCAAAUCAAUGUGAAAAAAUACACGGCAGAAUAAAACACUCAUACGAG
ensembl:lncRNA